AGUGAACGCUGGCGGUAGGCCUAACACAUGCAAGUCGAACGGCAGCACAGGAGAGCUUGCUCUCUGGGUGGCGAGUGGCGGACGGGUGAGGAAUACAUCGGAAUCUACUCUGUCGUGGGGGAUAACGUAGGGAAACUUACGCUAAUACCGCAUACGACCUACGGGUGAAAGCAGGGGACCUUCGGGCCUUGCGCGAUUGAAUGAGCCGAUGUCGGAUUAGCUAGUUGGCGGGGUAAAGGCCCACAAAGGCGACGAGCCGUAGCUGGUCUGAGAGGAUGAUCCGCCACACUGGAACCGAGACACGGUCCAGACGCCUACGGGAGGGUGCAGUGGGGAAUAUUGAACAAUGGGCGCAAGCCUGAUCCAGCCAUACCGCGUGGGUGAAGAAGGCCUUCGGGUUGUAAAGCCCUUUUGUUGGGAAAGAAAUCCAGCUGGCUAAUACCCGGUUGGGAUGACGGUACCCAAAGAAUAAGCACCGGCUAACUUCGUGCCAGCAGCCGCCGUAA
rnacentral:rRNA from 1 species